UACGAACUGUGCAAACGUUAUUCGGAAUCACUGGGCUUAAAGGGUGCGUAGGCGGUCAUCUAAGUUGGGUGUGAAAGCCCUCGGCUUAACCGAGGAAUUGCGCCCUAAACUGGAUGGCUGGAGUGAGAUAGGGGUGUGCGGAACUUCCGGUGGAGCGGUGAAAUGUGUUGAUAUCGGAAGGAACGCCGGUGGCGAAAGCGGCACACUGGGUCUCAACUGACGCUGAGGCACGAAAGCCAGGGGAGCAAACGGG
rnacentral:rRNA from 1 species